rnacentral:rRNA from 1 species
GACGUAGGAUGCGAGCGUUAUUCGGAUUUAUUGGGCGUAAAGCGUGCGUAGGCGGCUAUUUAAGUCUGGUGUUAAAGCUAGGGGCUCAACCCCUGUGAUGCACUGGAUACUGGGUAGCUUGAGUGCGGUAGGGGAAGGUGGAAUUCCGAGUGUAGCGGUGAAAUGCGUAGAUAUCUGGAGGAACACCGGUGGCGAAGGCGGCAUCCUGGACCGACACUGACGCUGAGGCGCGAAAGCUAGGGUAGCAAACGGG